GGACGCUUGGCGAAAUGGAUAUCGCGUCAGACUUCGGAUCUGAAGGUUUAGGGUUCGAGUCCCUAAGUGUUCG